UACGGAGGGUGCGAGCGUUGUCCGGAAUUACUGGGCGUAAAGGGCUCGUAGGCGGCCCUCUCAGUCUGAUGUGAAAUCCCCAGGCUUAACCUGGGAAUGGCAUCCGAUACUGGAGGGCUUGAAUUCGGGAGAGGGAUGCAGAAUUCCAGGUGUAGCGGUGAAAUGCGUAGAUAUCUGGAGGAAUACCAGUGGCGAAGGCGGCAUCCUGGACCGAGAUUGACGCUGAGGAGCGAAAGCUAGGGGAGCAAACGGG
rnacentral:rRNA from 1 species